AAUUAUUGUCAAUAAUCAUAGAAAGUGAUAACUCUUAAAUAUACGUCAAGCAUACGAGUUAAAACGAACAAUAUUAUGAACACAUUUGUCCUAGUGAUUAGCCUAAUUAUAGUGAGCGUGGUGGUGAUUAUCCCACCGUGCGGGGCUGCAUUUGGACGAAUGAGGGCUUAGACAGAAAAAAUAGCCAGAUUCCACAAAAACCCCCGCACCGAAAGGCGCGGGGGUUUUUUUUGGCACAGUUUUUGACAUUUAGAAAUGAGCAUAACAAAACAUCACAAUAGCCAAUUAUAAGGUAAACAU
rfam:Xenorhabdus beddingii strain DSM 4764 Xbed_5, whole genome shotgun sequence.